rnacentral:rRNA from 1 species
AGAACGAACGCUGGCGGCAUGCCUAAUACAUGCAAGUCGAACGAACUCUUCGGAGUUAGUGGCGCACGGGUGCGUAACGCGUGGGAAUCUGCCCUUGGGUUCGGAAUAACAGUUGGAAACGACUGCUAAUACCGGAUGAUGACGAAAGUCCAAAGAUUUAUCGCCCAGGGAUGAGCCCGCGUAGGAUUAGCUAGUUGGUGAGGUAAAGGCUCACCAAGGCUACGAUCCUUAGCUGGUCUGAGAGGACGAUCAGCCACACUGGGACUGAGACACGGCCCAGACUCCUACGGGAGCAGCAGUAGGGAAUAUGGACAGUGGGGCAACCCUGAUCCAGCAAUGCCGCGUGAGUGAGUGAAGGUCCGUUAGGUUAGUAAAGUCUUCUUUUAACCGAGUAUAGAUAAUGACAGUAGUCGG